AGGACGAACGUUGGCGGCGUGCCUAACACAUGCAAGUUGAGCGUGGCUUUAGUUUACUAAAGUCUAGCAGCGGACGGCAGAGUAAUGCUCAGGAACGUACCUCGAGGUGGGGGGAUAGCUCGUCGAAAGACGAGGUAAUACCGCAUAUGAUCGCAAGAUCAAAGCCGCAAGGCGCCAUGAGAACGGCCUGAGUCCUAUCAGGUAGUUGGUGGGGUAAUAGCCUACCAAGCCUAUGACGGGUAGCUGGUCUGAGAGGAUGAUCAGCCUGAUCGGGACUGAGACACGGCCCGAACUCCUACGGGAGGCAGCAGUUGGGAAUUUUGCACAAUGGACGAAAGUCUGAUGCAGCGACGCCGCGUGGAGGAUGAAGGUCUUCGGAUCGUAAGCCCUGUGGGGAGAGACGAAUAAGUCGGAGCCAAUACCUCCGGCGAUGACGGUAUCUCCUUAGCAAGCACCGGCUAACUCUGUCGCCAGCAGCCGUA
rnacentral:rRNA from 1 species